rnacentral:rRNA from 1 species
GCGCAGUGCAGGUGGUUUGUUAAGUCAGAUGUGAAAGCCCGGGGAUCCAACCUCGGAAUUGCAUUUUGAAACUGGCAGACUAGAGUACUGUAGAGGGGGUAGGAAUUUCAGGUGUAGCGGUGAAAUGCGUAGAGAUCUGAAGGAAUACCGGUGGCGAAGGCGGCCCCCUGGACAGAUACUGACACUCAGAUGCGAAAAGCGUGGGGAGCAAACAGGAUUAGAUACCCCUGGUAG